AAGGUUUUAAGUUAAAUAAACUAGUAGCCUUCAAAGCUGAAAAUAAAUUAUGUAUAUUUAAACCUUA
rnacentral:tRNA from 1 species